rnacentral:rRNA from 1 species
CCAAUAGCGUAUAUUAAAGUUGCUGCAGUUAAAAAGCUCGUAGUUGAAUUUCGGGAUCAAUAUGUUGGUCGUGCCUCGGUACGUACUAGCUUAUUGGUUUCUUCCUUCUGACGAACCAUAAUGUCAUUUAUUUGGUGUUAUGGGGAAUCAGGACUGUUACUUUGAAAAAAUUAGAGUGUUUAAAGCAGGCUCACGCUUGAAUACAUUAGCAUGGAAUAAUGAAAUAGGACGUUUGAUUCUAUUUUGUUGGUUUCUAGGAUCGACGUAAUGAUUAAUAGGGAUAGUUGGGGGCAUUAGUACUCAAUUGUCAGAGGUGAAAUUCUUGGAUUUAUUGAAGACUAACUACUGCGAAAGCAUUUGCCAAGGAUGUUUUCAUUAAUCAAGAACGAAAGUUAGGGGAUCGAAGACGAUCAGAUACCGUCGUAGUCUUAACCAUAAACUAUGCCGACUAGGGAUCGGAUGAUGUUAAUUUUUUAAUGACUCAUUCGGCGCCUUACG